rnacentral:piRNA from 1 species
UCAGGAUAAGAGGAGACUAAUGACC